rnacentral:rRNA from 1 species
GACGAACGCUGGCGGCGUGCUUAACACAUGCAAGUCGAGCGGUAAGGCCCUUUCGGGGGUACACGAGCGGCGAACGGGUGAGUAACACGUGGGUGACCUGCCCUCAGCUCUGGGAUAAGCCUGGGAAACCGGGUCUAAUACUGGAUAUGACUCCAUGACGCAUGUUGUGGGGUGGAAAGCCUUGUGCGGCUGAGGAUGGGCCCGCGGCCUAUCAGCUUGUUGGUGGGGGAUGGCCUACCAAGGCGACGACGGGUAGCCGGCCUGAGAGGGCGACCGGCCACACUGGGACUGAGACACGGCCCAGACUCCUACGGGAGGCAGCAGUGGGGAAUCUUGCGCAAUGGGCGAAAGCCUGACGCAGCGACGCCGCGUGAGGGAUGACGGCCUCGGUUGU